GACGGAGGAUGCAAGUGUUAUCCGGAAUCACUGGGCGUAAAGCGUCUGUAGGUGGUCAAAUAAGUCAACUGUUAAAUCUUGAGGCUUAACCUCAAAAUCGCAGUCGAAACUAUUAGGCUAGAGUAUAGUAGGGGUAGAGGGAAUUUCCAGUGGAGCGGUGAAAUGCGUAGAGAUUGGAAAGAACACCGAUGGCGAAGGCACUUUACUGGGCUAUUACUAACACUCAGAGACGAAAGCUAGGGUAGCAAAUGGG
rnacentral:rRNA from 1 species